AUUGAACGCUGGCGGCAGGCCUAACACAUGCAAGUAGAACGAGUGGCGGACGGGUGAGUAAUGGCUGGGAAACUGACUGAUGGAGGGGGAUAACUACUGGAAAAGGUAGCUAAUACCGCAUACCAUCGGAUGUGCCCCGAUGGGCUUAGCUAGUAGGUGGGGUAACGGCUCACCUAGGCGACGAUCCCUAGCUGGUCUGAGAGGAUGACCAGCCAAACUGGAACUGGGACACGGUCCAGACUCCUACGGGAGGCAGCAGUGGGGAAUAUUGCACAAUGGGCGCAAGCCUGAUGCACCCAUGCCGCGUUGUGGAAGAAGUCCUUCGGGUUGUAAAGUACUUUCAGCGGGGAGGCGUUACCCGCAGAAGAAGCACCGGCUAACUCCGUGCCAGCCGCCGCGGUAAUAC
rnacentral:rRNA from 1 species